GUCCUAGGAUUUUGCAAUUAAUUUGCCUACUUCCCCAACUGUCUGCCGCGCCCUAAAGUCCUGCCUCAGUGAUUAGCUGUUAGGAGCUGGUCCCAGUUCUGCCCUUCCUAGCCGUGUGUCCUUGGACAAGUUGCUUUCAAGGCAUGGUCAAAAAAUAAGGGCCCUGUUGCUCAUGACCAACAGGUAAAUUCUCAGGCCAAGGCCAAUGUCUCAAGAAAGAAAAUGUGCACUCUUCACGUCUUGGAAAAACUCUAAAUUCAACAGUUCAACAAAUAUUUAUUCUCUGUGUAUUGGGAAAGUCACUCCACCAGCCUCGAUAUUUGAACUUGAAGUAUUAGAAAUAGCAUUCUAAAAACACAUCAAAGUGUUUUCUGCCACAAACACAUGGAAGAACAUUGCAAGACUCCCUGAGAUUAAUCCAUUUGUCUAUCCAUCUAUCCAUCUAUCCAGCCAUCCAUCCAUUCUGGUAAACAUCUUUCCCUCCAAUUUAUGCCAAGUCUGAG
rnacentral:lncRNA from 1 species